GAUGAACAACUUCUUUAUUCGGAUGAUGGGACGUUUCGAGACAGAUUCUUGUAUCGUUGUCAAGCAAGAAUGAGUCAGACUGAAACAGGUUGAAAUAUAUAUGCAGUGAAAUAGUUAACAAGAACAACAUGAAGUAAUAGGGAAGUACACUAACAAUGUGAUGACAAUGGAUUACAGGUGGAAGCCAGUUACAAUGGAUUACAUUAGAAGCCAGUGACAAUACGAUGACAAGGAUUUUCAUGUAGAAGCCAUUGACUAUGUGAUGACAAGGGUUUACAGGUAGAAGCCAGUGACAAUGUGAUGACAAGGGUUUUCAUGUAGAAGCCAGUGACAAUGGAUAACAUUAGAAGCCAGUGGGAUGUACAGAGGUGUUGGACAUGUUUAUACAAGUUACACGAGCAGUUAGGGUUGUUCAUCCAUAAAGUUUUGUCCUUAUCACAUUUACAUAUGUUUAUAAUAUGUUUGAUUCAUAUAUUUGUUAAAUAAACAGAAUGCUAAUCGAC